AUCCAGAUGAGGAGUCCCAAAUUGGACGAAAUGCGCAUCCUGGAU
rfam:Trichobilharzia regenti genome assembly, scaffold: TRE_scaffold0000426